ensembl:lncRNA
GGAAUUUUUUGGGGAAUUUUUGGGAUUUUUUGGGAAUUUUUUGAGGAAUUUUUCGGGAUUUUUUGGGAAUUUUUGGGGGGAAUUUUCGGGAUUUUUGGGGAAAUUUUGGGAAUAUUUUCAGGGAAUUUUCGGGAUUUUUUGGGAAUUUUUUCGGGGAUAUUUUGGGAAUUCUGGGGAAUUUUUGGGAAUCUCCAGGACAUCAAGAGCGGGCGCUCGCCGCUGCUGCACGCGGUGGAGAACGACAGCCUGGAGAUGGCCGAGCUGCUGCUGCAGCACGGAGCCAGCGUGAACGCCCAAUCCUACGUGGAUUUUGGGUGGUUUUGAUGCGAUUUUGGGUCAUUUUUGGGUCAUUUUUGGGGCAUUUUUGAUGCAUUUUUGGGGCGAUUUUUGGGUAUUUUGGGUUUUUGAAUACCCCAAAUCAGAUUUUGGGGUUCCCAAACCCAUAUUUUUUGGUUUUUUCUGUGUUUUCCAGCACGGAGCCACCUCAAACCACAAAUCCCACCUGGAUUUUGGGUGGUGCUGCACGCGGCCGCGGGCCGGGGGCUGCUGCGGCUGCUGCGGCUCCUCCUGCGCUGCGGCGCCGACUGCGGCCUCCGCAACCUGCACAACGACACCGCUGCUGGCGUGGCUGCCAGCGCCCAGGUGAUCGACAUCCUUCGGGGAAAAGCCUCGAGACCCCCCCAGGACCCCCCAAAAUCCCCCCGGGACCCCCCCCACGGUGAGAAUUCCCAAAUUUUGGGGGGUCCUGGGUGGAAAUUCUCAAAUUUUGGGUGGGAAUUCCCAAAUUUUGGGUGUUUUGGGUGGAAAUUCUCAAAUUUUGGGUGGGAAUUCCCAAAUUUUGGGGGGUUUUGGGUGGAAAUUCCCAAAUUUUGGGUGGGAAUUCCCAAAUUUUGGGGGGUUUUGGGUGGAAAUUCCCAAAUUAUAGGUGGAAAUUCCCAAAUUUUGGGGGUUUUAGGUGGAAAUUCCCAAAUUUUGGGGGGUUUUGGGUGGAAAUUCCCCGAUUUUGGGGGAUUUGGGGUGGAAAUUCCCAAAUUUUGGGUGGGAAUUCCCAAAUUUUGGGGUUUUUGGGUGGAAAUUCCCCGAUUUUGGGGGAUUUGGGGUGGAAAUUCCCAACUUUUGGGGGGGUUUUGGGUGGAAAUUCCCCAAUUUUGGCUCCUCUGAGACCCCGUCCCCAUUUCUAGGCCGCGCCUCGGAGUCCCCGCCCACUUCCGGGUCUGCAGCCAAUGGGGUUCAAGAGGCGGGGCCUCCAACGGGAGCGCAGAGAAGCCCCGCCCACCGUCACACAGCGGACCAAUCAGAAGCGGCGAUGGGGAGGCUCCGCCCGCGCGGGGGGCGGGGCCAGGGGGCGCCGAAGCGGGAGCGGCCUGAGGGGGAAAUAAAAAUUAAUUAAAAAUAAAAUUAAAAAGCGGG